AUGAGGAGCUGCUUGUCUGGGGUCUCGGGGGCCGGGCUAAGUUCCUGCCAGGCUGAGAUACUUUCCCUUCCUUCCAGGUGCUGCCUGGUCCCAGAUGCCCCGGGCGCCCCCAUUAAAGUUCCCGUUCCUGGACAGAGGACUGGCUCCUCUUAAAUUGCCGAUUCCUUGAGGGAAAGACAUGCUGCAGGAGGCCGGUUUUAUUUUGUCUUUUACUGGAAGGCCGGAGAAAGCAUCUGAAAACAGCCCAUGUUUCCCUAAUUGCCUGGAGGGAUCCUGGCCAAGGUGUGUCCCCCAGCUGGGGGAGAGCUGCUGCCAGCAGGGGCAGCCUGAGGCUGUGCAGGAAAUGUGAGUCCGGGGAGACCCUUCGGCUGAGCCCACAAGGCACCAUCAGCUUCUCACCUCUGGGGCCUUCUCCUCUCUGCAGCGUCCACCUUCAGAGGCUCUCCCUGGUCCUCCUUGUCCUAGAGGAGAUUGGAUGCCAAGUCAAGGAAGGAGCCCAGAGACUCACAGGGGAGGAAGCCAUCUGAGUUUUUCGGUGCAGAACCCAUUGGCUCCGGUGGUGAGGAGAGACAUAAUUUCACCUCCAGCAGUGCUCCUGAGUCCAGGAAUUGC